rnacentral:rRNA from 1 species
GCUCAGAACGAACACUGGCGGCGUGGAUUAGGCAUGCAAGUCGAACGGGAAAGCUCCCUUCGGGGAGUGAGUAUAGUGGCGAACGGGUGAGUAACGCGUGGGAAACCUGCCCUUAAGUGGGGGAUAACAGGCCUAACGGCCUGCUAAUACCGCAUGUGUCCCCGGAAUCGCAUGGUUCCGGGAAGAAAGGUGGCCUCUCCUUGGAAGCUAUCGCUUAAGGAUGGUCCCGCGUCCCAUUAGCUUGUUGGUGGGGUAAUGGCCUACCAAGGCGACGAUGGGUAGCCGGCCUGAGAGGGUGUCCGGCCACACUGGGACUGAGAUACGGCCCAGACUCCUACGGGAGGCAGCAGUCGAGAAGCUUCGGCAAUGGGCGAAAGCCUGACCGAGCGACGCCGCGUGAGCGAUGAAGGUCCUAUGGAUUGUAAAGCUCUGUCAGAUUGGGAAGAAAACUUCGCGAUUAAUACCCGCGAAGCUUGACGGUACCAUCAGAGGAAGCACCGGCUAACUCCGUGCCAGCAGCCGCGGUAAUACGGAGGGUGCGAGCGUUGUUCGGAUUCACUGGGUAUAAAGGGUGCGUAGGCGGCCUCGUAAGUCAGGGGUGAAAUAUGACGGCUCAACCGUCAAACUGCCCCUGAAACUGCAAGGCUUGAGUCCGGGAGAGGAAGGUGGAAUUCCUGGUGUAGCGGUGAAAUGCGUAAAUAUCAGGAGGAACACCGGUGGCGAAGGCGGCCUUCUGGUCCGGUACUGACGCUGAGGCACGAAAGCUAGGGGAGCGAACAGGAUUAGAUACCCUGGUAGUCCUAGCCGUAAACGAUGGGCACUAGGUGUCGGAGGAGUCUACCCCUUCGGUGCCGCGGCUAAUGCCUUAAGUGCCCCACCUGGGGAGUACGAUCNGCAGGUUGAAACUCAAACGAAUUGACGGUGGCCCGCACAAGCGGUGGAGCAUGU